GAUGAAGAACGCAGUGAAAUGCGAUAAGUAAUGUGAAUUGCAGAAUUCAGUGAAUCAUCGAAUCUUUGAACGCACAUUGCGCCCCCUGGUAUUCCGGGGGGCAUGCCUGUUCGAGCGUCAUUUCACCACUCAAGCCUCGCUUGGUAUUGGGCAACGCGGUCCGCCGCGUGCCUCAAAUCGACCGGCUGGGUCUUCUGUCCCCUAAGCGUUGUGGAAACUAUUCGCUAAAGGGUGUUCGGGAGGCUACGCCGUAAAACAACCCCAUUUCUAAGGUUGACCUCGGAUCAGGUAGGGAUACCCGCUGAACUUAAGCAUAUCAAUAAGCGGAGG
rnacentral:misc_RNA from 1 species